rnacentral:ncRNA from 2 species
AUAUAUAAUCAGGGGUGGUUGUCCUCAUCUGAGACGGGGAUAGCCUGAGAUAAUACCCUCAGUACCUGAUCUGGGUAAUGCCAGCGUAGGGAAAAGGAAAAUGUUCACU